rnacentral:rRNA from 1 species
UACGUAGGGUGCAGGCGUUAAUCGGAAUUACUGGGCGUAAAGCGUGCGCAGGCGGUUUCUUAAGUCAGAUGUGAAAGCCCCGGGCUUAACCUGGGAACUGCGUUUGAAACUGGGAGACUUGAGUGUGGCAGAGGGGGGUGGAAUUCCGCGUGUAGCAGUGAAAUGCGUAGAUAUGUGGAGGAACACCGAUGGCGAAGGCAGCCCCCUGGGUCAACACUGACGCUCAUGCACGAAAGCGUGGGGAGCAAACAGG